rnacentral:lncRNA from 1 species
GGGCCCGUGCACCCCCGGAGGCGGCAGCGGCGAUAAACCUGCCAGUAAUUUCAGCAAAUGAAACGUGGAACACGUCAAGGCCAGAGGAUGGAAAAGGCUCCAGUUUUGAUAAAAGGAGGCCUGCUUGGCUUGGAAUCCUCUCUCCUGCUGGUUGGGAGAUGCAAAGAUGUUUCCAGAGAGGGGCUGAUGAAUUGAGGGGAAAGAAAUGAGCCCAGUAUGAGUCCCCUUUCAGGGCUGAGCGUGUAUAAAACCAAACAACUUGGAACCGCUCCAAGAGAGGGGAUUAAAGCAACAUGUUAUUCUGA